UGGGGAAUAUUGCGCAAUGGGCGAAAGCCUGACGCAGCAACGCCGCGUGAGUGAUGAAGGCCUUCGGGCCGUAAAGCUCUGUCGGAGGGAACGAAUGCUCCUGAAGUUAACAGCCUCAGGAGGUGACGGUACCCUCAAAGGAAGCACCGGCUAACUCUGUGCCAGCAGCCGCGGUAAUACAGAGGGUGCAAGCGUUGUUCGGAAUCAUUGGGCGUAAAGGGCGCGUAGGUGGCCAGCUAAGUCACACGUGAAAUCCCUCGGCUUAACCGGGGAACUGCGUGUGAUACUGGAUGGCUUGAGGUUGGGAGAGGGAUGCGGAAUUCCAGGUGUAGCGGUGAAAUGCGUAGAUAUCUGGAGGAACACCGGUGGCGAAGGCGGCAUCCUGGACCAAUACUGACGCUGAGGAGCGAAAGCCAGGGGAGCAAACGGGAUUAGAUACCCUGGUAGUCCCUGAGCGGGCUGGCAAGGCGCAU
rnacentral:rRNA from 1 species